UACUAUGGUCGAGCGCACGAAUUGCGGGAUUGACUAGCGACUCUUUCGCCCCUCAGGCCCUCACACCCAGCGUCUUCCUCCUAGCUAGGGUUAACGUGGCCGCCGCCGCCCUCCCCCACUUCGCUCGAGGUCGCCCCUCUCCAUGUCCCCUCCUGAGCUCCACCUCCUCCAGCCCCCGCCUGGGCUCUGCUCCUUCUUCCUUGUUGGCGCUCAACCGGACGAGGCUGAACUGCCACAAACUGCGGCAGAGGGACACGUCGAUGAGGAUGGCAAGUCGAGCUGGAGGGGAUCGGGAGGCGUGAGGCGUGGAUACGGGUGGAGCGCUGAAGAAGGGUUGUGUGGGGCAACCGGCCCGUCUUAUUUUGUGGAGUGGCCAUUAUCAUCGCCAAGCUACUCAACUCGUCGAACCCGAUGUCGCCAUGUUCGGGAAGAAGGAUUGUCAGCAGUGGCGUCUCCUCUGCCGAAUGAUAACUAACAGAUUUGGCCUUCAGUUACAUUUUUUGUCUUUGCCAUCCAAGAAGAAAGUUACAUACUGUCCCCACCUCCUCCUUAUAUUAUUAUUAUAGCUGACGCAGACAGUUGAUUCCUUGCAUCAAUGGGAAGGAUACAUUAGGUACCGUGUAGACUCUAUGUUCAAGGAUUUCAGUAAGGAAAGCUACCAUGAUCUGGAAGGAUGGAACAAUGUUGAUAUGUGUGUAUGAUUCCAAAUGGCCUUUGCAUGUUUUCAGAAAUUGGGAUCAUAAAUUUUCAUCACCUUCUAAUCACCCUCCCCCCUCUCUCUCUAUGUGGCCUCGUCUCCUACCCCUUUCUCUUCUCAAUCCGGAUCCAUGGAUCCUGUGGGGCUCGGGCUCAAAGUGGUCGUCGUGCCCUCGCGCCCGGUGGGGCGUCAAUGCUGCCAAGAGCUGCCUGCUCAGCCCGCGCCUGAACCUCAGGACGCAUGGCUGCACCCCUCCACGACCAAAGGCUGCGGCGGGGACGGCCAAUCGCAGCCAAAGCUUGGGGGCAAGAUAAUCUCCUGUACGGCCUGGCCACCGCUGGCAUGUCGGUGCCCUCAACAAGUUCUUGCACGGGGAUGUGAAGUCUGGUCCGAGGCCGCUCGGUCAGAUGGCGCUCACUCUAGUGCCAAGCAGACUUCUUGAGCUCCUGCUUCACUUGCAAGAAGCUACAGAAAGGCAUAAUUGUUGUGUGCCAUUGCAUCGGUGAGAAGGCAGUCUGCAGUGCCGAGUGCCGGGACCAAGAGAUCAUGAUCGAAGAGGAAGCGAAGAACAAGAUCGUCAUCAGAUGCUCGUCCUGCUCAACCCUGCAUGGGUGGAUGGAACGGACAAUAGCGGAGGACAUGGACAUUGCUCGUCCUGAAGAACGUCGAGUGCCAAUGCGAACUACCAGAGUCAUAUGAGGCUUACCGAAAGUGGCAACAUCGGUGGCAUUCCGGUCCAAUGCAGAUGUUCAAGCUUUGCAUAUCCAACAUCAUCAAGCCCAAGGCAUUGCUAUGCUCUUUUUGUUGUAAUAUCUAAACAGAAUGUACUACAAAAUAGAUAAUCUGACGAAGAUGUGGCACGUGAGAUGUUCUCCAAUAAUGUUAACUUGUUGUCAAAAACUCUAAAAUGGUACUGCUUUUUGAA